rnacentral:rRNA from 1 species
CAGCACCUCAAGUGGUCAGGAUGAUUAUUGGGCCUAAAGCAUCCGUAGCCGGCUCUGUAAGUUUUCGGUUAAAUCUGUACGCUCAACGUACAGGCUGCCGGGAAUACUGCAGAGCUAGGGAGUGGGAGAGGUAGACGGUACUCGGUAGGAAGGGGUAAAAUCCUUUGAUCUAUUGAUGACCACCUGUGGCGAAGGCGGUCUACCAGAACACGUCCGACGGUGAGGGAUGAAAGCUGGGGUAGCGAACCGGAUUAGAUACCCGUGUAGUCC